rnacentral:rRNA from 1 species
UACGGGGGGAGCAAGCGUUGUUCGGAUUUACUGGGCGUAAAGGGCGCGUAGGCGGUCAGCACAAGUCAGUUGUGAAAUCUCCGGGCUUAACUCGGAAAGGUCAACUGAUACUGUGCGACUAGAGUGCGGAAGGGGCAACUGGAAUUCUCGGUGUAGCGGUGAAAUGCGUAGAUAUCGAGAGGAACACCUGCGGCGAAGGCGGGUUGCUGGGCCGACACUGACGCUGAUGCGCGAAAGCGUGGGUAGCGAACAGG